AAGUCGUAACAAGGUAACCGUAGGUGAACCUGCGGUUGGAUCAUUAAUAAAUUAGGAGAGCAAUCUGUUGCGGUAAAACGUGCAGCAUUGUUUCUUGACAUUUUGUGAACAGUUUAUUGUCUCUGGUGGAUUUCGGUCCACCAAUUACCAUUAACAUUGUAAUAUUUAAAUCGUCUUCAACUUUUAAAUUCUAAAUUUAAAACAACUUUUGACAACGGAUCUCUAGGCUCUC
rnacentral:misc_RNA from 1 species